rnacentral:rRNA from 1 species
AUGGCUGAUGAACAAGGCCGGACGGCUGGCGCUCGUCAAGUCGGUGCUCAGCGCGAUUCCGAUUCAUCAACUGCUCACGUUCGCGCCACCAAAGAAAAUCCUGAAGCAACUAGAGAAGAUUCAGCGUGGUUUUCUUUGGGCCGGCCGCGUGGACACCCACGGUGGACACAACCACGUGAAUUGGCGCCGGGUCUGCCGCCCGCUCGAAUAUGGAAGCCUAGGUGUCCGAGAUCUUGA